GAGAUGUUUUCGGAUCUCAUCCCCUACCAAGCAACAUUGCGAUCGCACCGUAAUAUCGAACGUCUUCGAUGCCUGUUUUGUCAUGAGCUGAACAAUGGAGCCGAAGGCACGCAUGCAUGGAUGGAGGGAGCGUUAGUGAGGGCGGCUGUGCCGUCGAUGGUGGGUUGCUUGUUGUCCGCCACCAGGCUAUGUGGUUGAGGUCGACAUGCAUCCGCCCGCUGAAACAGUGGCCGAUGCUUCUUUUAACACCGCGAGAGUGCCUCCGUCACUUCAGCACGCAGUACCAAUGCUGGUGCGGUGUUCACGGUUGGACCAUUUGCAGUGGCUCCGCCGUCCCUCGGUGGGGUUUCGCCCCUCUCGACUCUGUCUCCGAUGCGUCUCUUUUUUAGACGAACCACGCACGGUUCUCCGCUCCGGCCCCCCUCCCCCCCCCCUUCCGAAUCGUCCGCGUCGCGUGACUGGAAUCCCUCAUCCGUCGUACCUCUGAUGGCGUGGAUCUACAGGAACAGGUAGCAUCAGCUGUGAGGACCAUCGGCUGGAGCUCUCUCUCUCUCUCUCAUGUCAGUAAUCUUGGUGUCGUUCAGAAACAAGUACGACGAGGAGGAUGUGGCUGCCUCGGACGGGGAAUUACAUCACAUCUUCCGGUUCUUCUUGCAUUGGGCAAUCCACGACACCCGACAGCUAUUUAGAAGCUUGCGGAGCAAUGGAUGAUGUCGAUCGAAGUCUGAUAGGUUGCACACUUCAGUCCUGAGAGCAAUAGCAGCAUUUAAUGUGCUUGGGCGGGCGUGGUCAUGGACGGAUGACCACUGGAAAGGCCCCUCGCAUAAGCUGGACACAGCAAGGACAGGCAGCGUCGAACGAUGAAGAUGAGGUUGCUCCUCUAAUGGAGGGCCCCAAUGCAGCACGAGCCACACUAAAAAGGGAUGGCUACGAUCCGUUCAAUCAAUCAAUCAAUAAAAAAAAAAAGUGAAUCGAAUAAAAAAAUUAAUUCGAUCAAUUUAAAUUUAUAAAUCGAUUAAUCGAACUGAACCAAUUGAUUUUAAUUUUAAUUUAUUUUACUUUAAUCGGAUCGAUUUCGUGGCAUCCGAACUGCUCGGAACACGCAGCCAUGUUGGAGUGAGCUUUCGCUGGUUCUCUCUGUAAUUGCAGGGAUGAUGAUGGAACUCUCUCGGGAUGCACACGAAAAGUUACCCCUGUCCAGAGAGAGAGAGAGAGAGA
rnacentral:lncRNA from 1 species